GAUGAACGCUGGCGGCAGGCCUAACACAUGCAAGUCGAACGAAGUCUUCGGACUUAGUGGCGGACGGGUGAGUAACACGUGGGAACCUACCUAUCGGUACGGAAAUAACAGAGGGAGACUUCUGCUAAAUACCGUAUACGCCCUUUUGGGGGAAAGUUUUUCGCCGAUAGAUGGGCCCGCGUUCGAUUAGAUUGUUGGUGGGUAACGGCCUACCAAGUCUACGAUCGAUAGCUGGUCUGAGAGGAUGAUCAGCCACACUGGGACUGAGACACGGCCCAGACUCCUACGGGAGGCAGCAGUGAGGAAUAUUGGACAAUAGGGGGAACCCUGAUCCAGCCAUGCCGCGUGCGCGAUGAAGGCCUUA
rnacentral:rRNA from 1 species